rnacentral:misc_RNA from 1 species
GAUGAAGAACGUAGCGAAAUGCGAUAAGUAAUGUGAAUUGCAGAAUUCAGUGAAUCAUCGAAUCUUUGAACGCACAUUGCGCCCGCCAGUAUUCUGGCGGGCAUGCCUGUUCGAGCGUCAUUUCAACCCUCAAGCCCAGCUUGGUGUUGGGGAUCGGCACAGGCGCCCUCGGGCGCCCGCCGUCCCCUAAAUCUAGUGGCGGUCCCGCUGCAGCCUCCUCUGCGUAGUAGUUUUCUCCUCGCAAGGGCAGCUCGGUGGCGACCUCGCCGUAAAACCCCCAACUUCUGAAAGGUUGACCUCGAAUCAGGUAGGAAUACCCGCUGAACUUAAGCAUAUCAAUAACGGAGGA